rfam:Candidate division WS6 bacterium GW2011_GWC2_36_7 TS24_C0055, whole genome shotgun sequence.
GGGCACGUAGCUCAAUUGGUAGAGCAAGCGACUCUUAAUCGCUUGGUUCGGGGUUCGAGUCCCCGCGUGCCCA